GUGUUUGUGGUUCAGUGGUAGAGUAAUGGCCUACAAAUCCAAAGGUUGUGGGUUCGUUUCCCGCUUGGGAAA
rnacentral:tRNA from 1 species